AGAGUUUGAUCAUGGCUCAGGACGAACGCUGGCGGCGUGCCUAACACAUGCGAGUCGAACGGGGUGAGGCCCUUCGGGACCUUUACCUAGUGGCGAACGGGUGAGUAACGCGUGAGGAACCUGCCUUUCAGUGGGGGACAACAGUUGGAAACGACUGCUAAUACCGCAUGAAGCUUUUGGGAGACAUCUCCUGGAAGCCAAAGCUUAAUGUGCUGAAAGAUGGCCUCGCGUCUGAUUAGCUAGUUGGUGGGGUAACGGCCCACAAGGCGACGAUCAGUAGCCGGUCUGAGAGGAUGAACGGCCACAUUGGGACUGAGAUACGGCCCAGACUCCUACGGGAGGCAGCAGUGGGGAAUAUUGGGCAAUGGGCGAAAGCCUGACCCAGCAACGCCGCGUGAAGGAAGAAGGCCUUCGGGUUGUAAACUUCUUUUACCAGGGACGAAGGACGUGACGGUACCUGGAGAAAAAGCAACGACUAACUACGUGCCAGCAGCCGCGGUAAUACGUAGGUUGCAAGCGUUGUCCGGAUUUACUGGGUGUAAAGGGCGUGUAGGCGGAGAUGCAAGUUAGGAGUGAAAUCUAUGGGCUCAACCCAUAAACUGCUUCUAAAACUGUAUCCCUUGAGUAUCGGAGAGGCAAGCGGAAUUCCUAGUGUAGCGGUGAAAUGCGUAGAUAUUAGGAGGAACACCAGUGGCGAAGGCGGCUUGCUGGACGACAACUGACGCUGAGGCGCGAAAGCGUGGGGAGCAAACAGGAUUAGAUACCCUGGUAGUCCACGCUGUAAACGAUGAAUACUAGGUGUGGGGGGACUGACCCCCUCCGUGCCGCAGUUAACACAAUAAGUAUUCCACCUGGGGAGUACGACCGCAAGGUUGAAACUCAAAGGAAUUGACGGGGGCCCGCACAAGCAGUGGAUUAUGUGGUUUAAUUCGACGCAACGCGAAGAACCUUACCAGGACUUGACAUCCAACUAACGAAGUAGAGAUACAUCAGGUGCCCUUCGGGGAAAGUUGAGACAGGUGGUGCAUGGUUGUCGUCAGCUCGUGUCGUGAGAUGUUGGGUUAAGUCCCGCAACGAGCGCAACCCCUAUUGUUAGUUGCUACGAAAGAGCACUCUAGCGAGACUGCCGUUGACAAAACGGAGGAAGGCGGGGACGACGUCAAGUCAUCAUGCCCCUUAUGUCCUGGGCUACACACGUAAUACAAUGGUGGCCAACAGAGGGAAGCGAAGCCGUGAGGCAGAGCAAGUCCCUAAAAGCCAUCUCAGUUCGGAUUGCAGGCUGCAACUCGCCUGCAUGAAGCUGGAAUUGCUAGUAAUCGCGGAUCAGCAUGCCGCGGUGAAUACGUUCCCGGGCCUUGUACACACCGCCCGUCACACCAUGAGAGUCGGGAACACCCGAAGUCCGUAGUCUAACCGCAAGGGGGGCGCGGCCGAAGGUGGGUCCGGUAAUUGGGGUGAAGUCGUAACAAGGUA
rnacentral:rRNA from 1 species